rnacentral:rRNA from 1 species
GAUGAACGCUGGCUACAGGCUUAACACAUGCAAGUCGAGGGGAAACGACGGGGAAGCUUGCUUCCCCGGGCGUCGACCGGCGCACGGGUGAGUAACGCGUAUCCAACCUACCUCUGACUGAGGGAUAACCCGUCGAAAGUCGGCCUAAUACCUCAUGGCAUCGUCUGCGGGCAUCCAACGACGAUUAAAGAUUUCAUCGGUCAGGGAUGGGGAUGCGUCUGAUUAGCUUGUUGGCGGGGUAACGGCCCACCAAGGCGACGAUCAGUAGGGGUUCUGAGAGGAAGGUCCCCCACAUUGGAACUGAGACACGGUCCAAACUCCUACGGGAGGCAGCAGUGAGGAAUAUUGGUCAAUGGGCGAGAGCCUGAACCAGCCAAGUAGCGUGCAGGAAGACGGCCCUAUGGGUUGUAAACUGCUUUUAUGCGGGGAUAAAGUGAAGGACGUGUCCAUCAUUGCAGGUACCGCAUGAAUAAGGACCGGCUAAUUCCGUGCCAGCAGCCGCGGUAAUACGGAAGGUCCGGGCGUUAUCCGGAUUUAUUGGGUUUAAAGGGAGCGUAGGCCGUGGAUUAAGCGUGUUGUGAAAUGCAGGUGCUCAACGUCUGCACUGCAGCGCGAACUGGUCCACUUGAGUGUGCGCAACGCAGGCGGAAUUCGUCGUGUAGCGGUGAAAUGCUUAGAUAUGACGAAGAACUCCGAUUGCGAAGGCAGCUUGCGGGAGCACAACUGACGCUGAAGCUCGAAAGUGCGGGUAUCGAACAGG